GCAAAUAUAGUUUAACAAAAAUGUUGGAUUGUGAUUCCAAAGACGAGAGUUCGAGUCUCUCUAUUCGCC
rnacentral:tRNA from 1 species